rnacentral:rRNA from 1 species
GCAACAACCUAGCUCAAUUAAAAACAAUAAACAAAACAAACAAAAUAAUCCCACCAUAAACCAAUUAAAACAUUUACACCAUCUUAGUAUAGGUGAUAGAAA